GUUGUCUGCAUAAACUUCUUUCAGUGCUGGUUGUUGACUGAUUUAUCUCAUAAAUUUCGGUAUUGUUCCUCAUCAGAGGGGUGUGGUGGUGUGGUGGUACGGACUCUGUCCUGCUCUCUGGUGGGUCUGAGGUUCAAGUCCCACUUGGGGUGCCUUGCGAUGGACUGAUGUCCUGGGUGUGUUGCAGGUUAGGCUCUGGCUCCCCAUGACCCCAUAGGCGAUAAGUGAUUUCAGAUGGUGGGUGUGUGUGUGUGUGUGUGUGUGUGUGUGUGUGUGUGUGUGUGUGUGUGUUUGUGUUCCUCAUCAUGUUCCCAAGUGGAUUUGUGAUGAGCUGGAGCCUAACCUGGCAGCAUAGGGUGCAAGGCUGGAGAGGGAGGGGACACACCCAGGACAGGACACCAGUCCAUUGCAAGGCCCCCAAAGUCGGACUUGAAUUCUGGACCUGCUGGAGAGCAGGCCCUGGCCAAGUUUACUGUGCCACCAUGCCCCCCGAUAUCAAUUAAACUUAUAUUAAAAAACUGUGGGUGGCAUAGUGGCUGUCAUGUUUGCCAGGAUGAUGAGGACCCAAGUGCCGUUGCACGGUGUUAUUCUUUACAGAAUUGGGAGGCAGAAUGCGUUGUCGUAGCGAGGGUCACCGAUGAGCAGAUGUCAAUACCAGGAGAAUCCGAAGCGGUAGUCCAGGAAAUGAAGCCAAUGGUCAGGGAACGAAGAGAACGAGGAGACGGGGGACUGGGUUUAGGGAGGACAGGAAGAGGGCGAGGCAGGAACAGGAACUGGAAUAGGUACGGGAACAAGGAGAAGGGGGAAAACAAGGAUGUAGGAGAAAUCGCAGGUGUGGUUGAGCAGAUGGCUCAAGGAGGUUCCGUGACCUGGUCGAUCAGGCGUCAUCCUUUUAUGCUCCGUUUCCUUGAUCAUCCACAGGUAGCAGAUCCACUUACCAUACAGCAUUCCUGGGCUUGACCUUCAGCCAGAGGUUGAGGGGAUGGAGCCAUGUGGCAAGGUGUGUCACAGGGCAUGUUCUCUGACACCAGGUGCCUGCACUUCUCACACUUAGGAUGGAGGCUCCACGUAAAUCUUUCAGCCUGUCAGAUGCUUCAUCAAAGAGGAAUUCCAGCAGAAGCAAUAAAUCAAAGUGAGCAGCAGAACCUGCCGGCA
rnacentral:lncRNA from 1 species